rnacentral:rRNA from 1 species
UACGUAGGGUGCGAGCGUUGUCCGGAAUUAUUGGGCGUAAAGAGCUCGUAGGCGGCUUGUCGCGUCGGAUGUGAAAGCCCGGGGCUUAACUCCGGGUCUGCAUUCGAUACGGGCAGGCUAGAGUUCGGUAGGGGAGAUCGGAAUUCCUGGUGUAGCGGUGAAAUGCGCAGAUAUCAGGAGGAACACCGGUGGCGAAGGCGGAUCGCUGGGCCGAUACUGACGCUGAGACGCGAAAGCGUGGGGAGCAAACAGG